UUAGGGUUUCGGAGAAACCCUAGAAAAUGAGAAAGGCUUAGAAAGGUCAGAUCCUGGGUCGAAGUGAUCAGGAAUCGGGCUUCUCGUGCUUGAAUAUGAUGGAGCAUGGCCGGAGAAUCCAUGGAACCAAAGAUCUGAGAAGAUAUGAAAGAGAAAUAUUGAAGUCGAACUUCAACACCUUGAACACCCGAGGUCUAGGUGGAGAGGGGUAAGUAUAGACCAUCCAUGGCCUGAGAAGCCAUAGAUUUCGGUGAAAGCACGGUGAGAAAAUGUAGGAGGAGGCUAGGGUUCCGAAGAACCUUGAGAGAGAAUUGGGAGAAA
rnacentral:lncRNA from 1 species